CCUACGGGAGGCAGCAGUGGGGAAUCUUGCGCAAUGGGCGAAAGCCUGACGCAGCGACGCCGCGUGGGUGAUGAAGGCCUUCGGGUUGUAAAGCCCUGUGGGGAGAGAAGAAUAAGUUGGGGCGAAUAGGCCUGACGAUGACGGUAUCUCCUUAGCAAGCACCGGCUAACUCUGUGCCAGCAGCCGCGGUAAGACAGAGGGUGCAAACGUUGUUCGGAAUUACUGGGCGUAAAGCGCGUGUAGGCGGCGAGGCAAGUCGGAUGUGAAAGCCCUGGGCUCAACCCAGGAAGUGCAUUCGAUACUGCUUUGCUAGAGUCUCGGAGAGGGUGGUGGAAUUCUCGGUGUAGAGGUGAAAUUCGUAGAUAUCGAGAGGAACACCUGUGGCGAAGGCGGCCACCUGGACGGUGACUGACGCUGAGACGCGAAAGCGUGGGGAGCAAACAGGAUUAGAUACCCUUGUAGUC
rnacentral:rRNA from 1 species